rnacentral:rRNA from 1 species
CUAGCCGUAAACGAUGGAUACUAGGCGUUGAGAGGAUCGACCCUCGCAGUGCCGUAGCUAACGCGUUAAGUAUCCCGCCUGGGGAGUACGCGCGCAAGCGUGAAACUCAAAGGAAUUGACGGGGGCCCGCACAAGCGGUGGAGUAUGUGGUUUAAUUCGAUGCAACGCGAAGAACCUUACCUGGGCUUGACAUGUCCGGAACCCUGCCCAAAGGUGGGGGUGCCUGCGGGAGCCGGAACACAGGUGGUGC